rnacentral:rRNA from 1 species
GACGAACGCUGGCGGCGUGCUUAACACAUGCAAGUCGAACGGAAAGGCCCUGCUUUUGUGGGGUGCUCGAGUGGCGAACGGGUGAGUAACACGUGAGUAACCUGCCCUUGACUUUGGGGUAACUUCAGGAAACUGGGGCUAAUACCGGAUAGGAGCUCCUGCUGCAUGGUGGGGGUUGGUAAGUUUCGGCGGUUGGGGAUGGACUCGCGGCUUAUCAGCUUGUUGGUGGGGUAGUGGCUUACCAAGGCUUUGACGGGUAGCCGGCCUGAGAGGGUGACCGGCCACAUUGGGCCUGAGAUAGGGCCCAGACUCCUACGGGAGGCAGCAGGGGGGAAUAUUGCAGAGUGGGCGGAAGCCUGAGGCAGCAACGCCGCGUGCGGGAUGCCGGCCUUCGGGUUGUAAACCGCUUUCGACUGUAACGAAGCGUGAGUGACGGUAAUGGGUAAAGAAGCACCGGCUAACUACGUG